UGCUGAUCCUCACGACAGAUCUGCGGACAGAAAUCACCCUCGCCGUUUUACGUAGCUCCCAGAGGUUAAGGUCACACAGACAAAGCUGGGAUUUGAACCGUGGCCCUUCACACUUCAAAGCCAGGGCUUGCCCCAUCAUUAGGAGCACAAUGACCUCGCCAAUGAUUCCUCCGAAUAAAGCUCCUGUGAUAAUGUAUCGUACUCCAAAGAUCUUUAAAAAGAACCCAAACAGGAGGGUGAUUCGAAUGUCUUCAGCAGAACAGAGCAAAAGCUACCACCUGGGGAGCAGCCUGAGAGGCCAACAUCAUAGCUUCAUUUUCUGCAGACCGAACUGGAGCUAACAGAGGUCCCAUUGUCAUUUGUCCCAAGUCACGCCGAGAGGAACUGGGUAAGACCAGAUUUCAUCCCAUGCCCAGGUGAGUGCCCCCCUCCCUGGCACUUCCAACCUGGCCGAAUGCCAGGCUGCAGCCAGAGAGGACCCGCACACAGAGAGAAGCUGGGGCAUGAGGGACAGACCCCUCCACCAAAGCCCCAGGACUCAGUGGGCACUGACAGUGUCUGCUCUACUGACCCAAUAUCUGAGGUAAGGAUAAAGAAAGUGGGCCAGAGGGAACAGAAUGUGCAAAGGUGCAGAGGCUGGAGGGAGCACAGGAGUCUGAGAAUUAGGAAGAGGUCAGAGUAGCUGACCUCGCUGUGUGUGCUGUGGGAUGGGGCUGAAAGCCAUGUGGGCCAGACAGAACUUUUACCAUGCCGAGAGCUCUGUGAAGCCUGGGAGGGCCCUCAGGAGGUGGAUGGCAUGUUGGGCUCACAUUUUAGGAAGGUCCAUCUGGCUGUGGUGUGGAGAACAAUUCAGAGCAGGCCAGAGUUACAAGACGAGACUGGGUAGAAGGUUCUCCUGGGGUUCGGGUGAGAGGUGAUGCUAGC